GACGGGGGAUGCAAGUGUUAUCCGGAAUAAUUGGGCGUAAAGCGUCUGUAGGUGGUUUACCAAGUCUGUUGUUAAAAAUCAGGGCUUAACCCUGAUCCGGCAACAGAAACUAGUAGGCUGGAGUACGGUAGGGGCAGAGGGAAUUCUCGGUGUAGUGGUGAAAUACGUAGAUAUCGAGAAGAACACCAAUAGCGAAAGCACUCUCUGGGCCGAAAACUGACAUUGAGAGACGAAAGCUAGGGGAGCGAAAGGGAUUAAGAUAC
rnacentral:rRNA from 1 species